UGGGGAAUUUUGGACAAUGGGCGCAAGCCUGAUCCAGCCAUGCCGCGUGCGGGAAGAAGGCCUUCGGGUUGUAAACCGCUUUUGUCAGGGAAGAAACGGCUUUUUCUAAUACAAAGAGCUAAUGACGGUACCUGAAGAAUAAGCACCGGCUAACUACGUGCCAGCAGCCGCGGUAAUACGUAGGGUGCAAGCGUUAAUCGGAAUUACUGGGCGUAAAGCGUGCGCAGGCGGCUUUGCAAGACAGAUGUGAAAUCCCCGGGCUCAACCUGGGAACUGCAUUUGUGACUGCAAGGCUUGAGUGCGGCAGAGGGGGAUGGAAUUCCGCGUGUAGCAGUGAAAUGCGUAGAUAUGCGGAGGAACACCGAUGGCGAAGGCAAUCCCCUGGGCCUGCACUGACGCUCAUGCACGAAAGCGUGGGGAGCAA
rnacentral:rRNA from 1 species